GCCGAAUCCGAAUGGAGGAUGUAGGCUGAAGCCACUUAAAGAAAGAAACCCAUGUUGGAUGGAUUAGGCCAUAACAAACCAUCAACUUUACUUUCAAAAAGAAGAAUACCAACCUAUCAACUUUGAAUCCCGCCAUCUCUAAGCUAGACUUGGAUAAUGGGAGAAGGAGAAAUCCUAGAAGAAAGAUGAUUCCAGGCAGCUCCUCUCAUUUUAUUCCUUGUCAUCAUCUUCCAAUUUGCCACCAAAUGGCUACAUUUAAAGAAGGGAGCAUCCAAGACUGACAAUGAAAUCCAACUUUGUGGAGAGAUUAAGCAGCUUUUAAAAGAUGCUGCUUCCUUUUCGCAGCCGUCUACAUUUGCACGAUCAGCCAAACUUAAAGAGGAUGGCAGCUGAAUGAACUUGCAAAUUGUUUUGCAUAGCCAUUGAUCAGGCAGAUCGCAGCCAAGAGUUGAAGCUGUCCUAUAUUUGUAUCUGAAAGUUUUGUUCAUCUUGAAGGUCAUAACUAAUGUUGUGCUAAUCUUCUGGUUUUGGAGGUCUACUGUUGCUUCCAUAUCUCAACAACUUGUGCAACCAAUUGGUAAGGUCUAUCCUGGAAGACACGGGAUUCUUUAAACAACAAUGUCCUGGUUGGAAUCAUAUCCUGGUUGAUAUUGUGUACCAAGGUUAGCAAGUUUGUUUGUCGACUGGUCUAGAAGAACCAAGGACUUAUCUAGCAAAAUAGUUUUGUAUGCGCUGCCUCUUCAGUUCAGGAACUUUGGAAUAACAUGUAUUGUAGAAUUCAUUCAUUUUAUUUGUCAAGAGACAAAAGUGAGAAAAA